UACGUAGGGACCAAGCGUUGUUCGGAUUUACUGGGCGUAAAGGGCGCGUAGGCGGCGUAUCAAGUCACUUGUGAAAUCUCCGGGCUUAACUCGGAACGGUCAAGUGAUACUGAUGUGCUAGAGUGCAGAAGGGGCAACCGGAAUUCUUGGUGUAGCGGUGAAAUGCGUAGAUAUCAAGAGGAACACCGGAGGUGAAGACGGGUUGCUGGGCUGACACUGACGCUGAGGCGCGAAAGCUAGGGUAGCAAACGGG
rnacentral:rRNA from 1 species